rnacentral:tRNA from 1 species
GCCGAAGUGGCGGAACUGGCAGACGCAGGGGACUCAAAAUCCCCCGGUCUUCGGGCCUUGUGGGUUCGAGUCCCACCUUCGGCACCA